rnacentral:rRNA from 1 species
UACAGAGAGUGCGAGCGUUGUCCGGAAUCACUGGGCGUAAAGCGUGCGCAGGCGGUUCGCCAAGUCCGGUGUGAAAUCCCCGGGCUUAACCUGGGAAUUGCGCUUGAAACUAGCGGGCUUGAGUGCGGCAGAGGGGGGUGGAAUUCCACGUGUAGCAGUGAAAUGCGUAGAGAUGUGGAGGAACACCGAUGGCGAAGGCAGCCCCCUGGGUCGACACUGACGCUCAGGCACGAAAGCGUGGGGAGCAAACAGG